rnacentral:lncRNA from 1 species
AACUCCAAGUAUUAUAUUUAAUAGGUUUUAUUAAUAAUCACUUGAAGUAAAGGAAUAAAAAGGUAAUUAUCUAACAAAAUAAAACCACAUGUCCAAGCUUUUCUAUCUGCUCAAAAACCCCACAUCCAUAGCUACCACCACAGGAAAAGAAGAAAGCAAGAGGCAGAACUACCCAGAAUUUAUAUCCUGCCUACAUCAGCUUAGAGAUAGAGAGUGGAACUCCCUCCCCAGCCUGGCUCUGCUCAGGCAUCAGAAGACAGAGGCCAUCAUUACUGCUGAGCGCCUAUGGUAGCUGGAACUGGCAUCCCCAAGGGGUUGGUGGCAGCAAUCACUGGUAAUGAUCACCACCAGCAAUAAUGUCAGUCUAUUCCAGCUCAUUCCACCUGAAUUUUCUACUCGUGACAUCUGGAUGUUGGAACCAAGAAUCAGCACACAGUCAUCUGACUGUCUUCUUCUUUGACUGCCAUUGUAUUGUAUGUAGCCUUUAGAUCUGCUGUUCCUGCAAAUCCAACCUCUUGCCUAUAAAUGCUACCACAGUCAUCCUUUUUCCUGAAACUGGAACUCAUUCUUAACUGUCCCUGCUCAUCAGCCUCUCCCACUUUCUUUCUGGCCCUUGCCAUCAAUAAGUCAUGGAGUUUUUUAGGUUCUCUGUCUCUCUUAUUCUACAUGUAGAUAUCUCUAUCUAUUAUUUGAUACUCAGUGGGCAAAGGGUAAGAGCUAUUGUCACUCUCUUUUAUAGAUGAGGAAAUUGAGGCUCAGAAGUGAAAUUACCUGUCUAUUGUUACAUAUCUAGAAGCAGGCAGAGUUGGGAUUCAAUUUGAAGACUGGAUUUCCAGGCAGUGCCC